GGGGCUUUCCUUCAUGCUGAGGUGAUCCAAGGAUUAGUCUCAAUGAGAACAGUUGGAUGGAGGCCGAUGAUCGGGAAGAUUUUCUCCGACUGAAGGAUAUGACAGUUGAAAGGAAUAUACCCUACAAGCCAAUUGAUUUAUGUAUAUAAGAGAUUUUUCUUGUAAUUUUUCAGACUUAUGUAAAUGAUAUUUUAUAUUAAUAAAAGAUUUUUUUUUGUUUUAUCAUGUGCUGCAUCUUAUGUUUUUAAUUGAGAUC
rnacentral:lncRNA from 1 species